GAUUCCUACGGGAGGCAGCAGGAGGGAAUAUUGCACAAUGGAGGAAACUCUGAUGCAGCGACGCCGCGUGAGUGAAGAAGGUCUUUGGAUCGUAAAACUCUGUCCUUGGUGACGAAAAAAAUGACGGUAGCCAAGGAGGAAGCCCCGGCUAACUACGUGCCAGCAGCCGCGGUAAUACGUAGGGGGCGAGCGUUGUCCGGAUUUACUGGGCGUAAAGGGUGAGUAGGCGGUAAUAUGUGUCAGAUGUAAAAGGCUAUGGCUUAACCAUAGUUGGCAUUUGAAACUGUAUUACUUGAGUGCAGGAGAGGUAAGUGGAAUUCCUAGUGUAGCGGUGAAAUGCGUAGAUAUUAGGAGGAACACCAGUGGCGAAGGCGACUUACUGGACUGUAACUGACGCUGAGUCACGAAAGCGUGGGUAGCAAACAGGAUUAGAUACCCUGGUGGUCCACGCUGUAAACGAUGAGUGCUAGGUGUUGGGUAGCGAUAUUCAGUGCCGAAGUAAACACAAUAAGCACUCCGCCUGGGGAGUACGGUCGCAAGACUGAAACUCAAAGGAAUUGACGG
rnacentral:rRNA from 1 species